rnacentral:rRNA from 1 species
GACGUAGGGCGCGAGCGUUGUCCGGAUUUAUUGGGCGUAAAGAGCUCGUAGGCGGCUUGUUGCGUCGGCUGUGAAAACCCGCGGCUUAACCGCGGGCCUGCAGCCGAUACGGGCAGGCUAGAGUUCGGUAGGGGAGACUGGAAUUCCUGGUGUAGCGGUGGAAAUGCGCAGAUAUCAGGAGGAACACCGGUGGCGAAGGCGGGUCUCUGGGCAGUAACUGACGCUGAGGAGCGAAAGCGUGGGAGCGAACAGG